rnacentral:lncRNA from 1 species
UAUAAAUUUGUCAAUAAAUUCAGCGAUAAAUAUUUAAUGAUAAUUAUUGAUAAAUUAUAGUAUUGAUAAAAAUUGAAUUAGGUUCUUCUUUCAUUUCUUUUUUUUUUUUCUUCUCUCAUUUUGUUUUUAUAGUUAUGCUUCCACCACCGUUACCAUUGUUGUAGUUAUGUUUACCACUACUAUCACCACCAUUACGUUUAACUCACCCUCCUCCUCUUUUAACUUCAAUUGUCAUUAUCGCCACUCCUCUAUGACAUGUCACUAUUACACUUCCAAUACUUUUAGUACCACCUACUUCAAUUUCUCCUCUUUCUCCUUUUCCUUCUUCUUCUUCUCAUACAUCUCCUUU